AAAACGGGAUUAAAAGCAUAAAUAUUAAUACUCUUUUGAUUAAAAUACUAAUUUCAUAAUGGUAAUAAGUAUUGAUAAAAAGAAGUUAAAUAUAAUAAAUACUGAUAAAAAGCAUGUAAACAUAAGUUUAAUUAAUAUGUACGUAUGUAUAUGUAAUAUAUAAAUGGUGUGGGGACAGGACUUUGUCCUUUAGAGUGUGUUUGUUAGAUCCACUGAGCGACCAAUCAUUGGCUGGUCUGACCCUCCCCCAGUCUGUGUGCGCUGCUCAGACACCUGUGUGUGCCUGCGUGUGCCAGUCAGAUACGCCAGAGACACAGACGGUGAAAGAUCCUAGCUAGCUGGAUAGUGAAAGUCCUUUUUUCGACGAGAAUAAUAAGAGUGAUACUGUAUUCCAGAGGCCGUGAGCCAGCGUGAGCACUGUGAAGCCCCGUGUAGCAUUUGUUGCUUCACAUGAAAUGCAUCAUCACAGAACUGAAGGUCACACAGGACAGGUUUUCUUGUGACGUGUUGUCUCCUGUUUGACGGAUAUGUGGCAUUCCUCAGUGAAGACUCAACCACCUCAAGUACAUGCUGGAAAAUGCUUUAAGCUGUUUUUGGACCUCAGUACAGAAACAAUGAAUGUUAAUUCUCAACAUCUGUUAACGCACAGGAGGCUAAACUAUGAGGUGUGGCUGCAAGUUUAUGCAACUAGAAACAGCUUCAAUAACCACACCUCAUAUGACUGAAUGAGUGUCAGAGAAAGGCCGGGAUCAAACCUGCUCAGCUAUAUUUUAUAAACUGCUGUGUGUGCUGCUGUUCAUAUGCAUAUCUCCAAAGAACUAAAAGAAAAUCCAUGUGUUGGAAUAACUUCAGAAUAAAUUAAUGAACAAAUCUGCAUCAAUUAAUUUCCAGAGUUGCACCAGAUCAACAAGAUUCAUAAAACAAGUUCAACAAAGCAGAAAUAUGUUGUAUAUAUAUAUAAAUUCCUGAACUGUGUUACAGUAUAAGACACUUACCGGGCAUCUGUGGUACUAUUAUUUUAACUGCGUUGAUAAUUUGUUGUUUAUUGUAAACUGUACUUUUUUUACUCUUUAUCAUGCUGCUGUUACAGAAAAAAAAUCCCUCGUGGCAUCAAUGAAGGAUGUAUAUAUCUAAAGUCUUUACAAAUAAAGUAUUUACAUAAAAUGA